CCACCCAUUCCAACUUUCUGUUUAGUGGAAAACAAAGAGGAGAAGCUAAUCUUCAAUUCUUAGAAACCGAUUAUCCAUAGGUCUAUGAGCAACGGUCUCAUUGAAAUGAAAACCUGGGCCAAGUGAGCCUCCCAUGAAAGGGAAUUGCACAACUUGGGUGCAGCCACCAAGAAGGCUCUCCUUCAUUUUCACCAAACUCACCUGUGAAGAAAAAGUCUUCCUCCUGAAGAUCGUAAAAAUUGGGCAAGCAGUUGGGUGGUGUAGUUUUGUCAAUAUGCUGGACCUCAGCUGUGUAGGCUUUAAAGGCAAUUGGAAACAGAUGGGCAGCCAGUGAAACUUGCAUGUUGUCUAAGUGGUGUAACUUUAUUUUUGGAAAAUGUAAAGAACUAACGGAAGAUGAGAUUAUAUCCUGAGUCUCCCAAAGCUAGAUAAAAAGGGACUUUUGUAUCUCAGCACAUGGCAGGUCACUGAAUCUUCCAUUUUGUUCUUCUCCUGUGAGCAUGGAGAGAGACAGGAUGUCUCCAGACAGCCAAAUAGCUAGAUAGCAAAGCCCUUACUUUCCUAUAUUUUGGGAAAUGGCAUUUAUAACCUUUUGGAAAUACACCGUUUGGAGAUCAUAACUUUUUAAAGAAAAGCAUGACCUUUCAUAGAAGAGCCCAAAACCCUUUAGAGCAGAAUCUUCUCUUGUGGUAUAAAACCAGAUGCAAUUAUGCAAGGCAAUGGUUUCAGUUGUUAGACUGAAUAACCUGUUAUCUCUGAUCUGUUACGAAAACAGAGAUUUUCCAGUGCAUAAAAACAGCAGUGCUUCAGAAGUGUUUUUCAGUGCCCAAAAUAUAUAUACUGUCCCAUAAAAACACCUUGUUUUAUAUAAUGCACUCAAUAAACAAAAAUGAAGUAGACUUUGAUGGAAAUGACAUAUUUGGUUUACUCACAACCUUCCUGUGUUCUGCAUACACUUAUCAGUCCAGUUUCAAGUAUUUUUGAGAUGGUUCCCUGUGCUAAACGACCAGGAGGAACCAUAAAGGAAGCUGCAUACCAGAACAUGCAUACAGGAAACAGUAAGCAACAGGAUCAUAGAUAAA